GCCCGUCGCGGCCAGCACGGCCCCUGGACCAAGCAGGCCCCGCGCAGACGGUUCCCGCCCCAUCCCGCCACCCAGGCCUGCCCCGCCCCGCCCUGCGCUCCGGAGCCCGCCCGGGGCGCCAAGGUUUCGGCGAAACCGCUCAGGCCUUCUUCCUGAAUCUGGCCAUGUCUACAGUCAGGCCUUCAGCUUCCCCGCCUGUGCUCAGCUUCCAGCCUCCCGGUCAGUCCUCCCUUCGUCCACCGAACGCACUGAAGGCCGUUGCUCAGCUGACUCACCUGCUUCUGUAUGAAAUGCAGACCUUCCCGAA